rnacentral:rRNA from 1 species
AGGAUGAGACUAUAUUGUAUCAGCUAGUUGGUAAGGUAAUGGCUUACCAAGGCUAUGACGCAUAACUGGUCUGAGAGGAUGAUCAGUCACACUGGAACUGAGACACGGUCCAGACUCCUACGGGAGGCAGCAGUAGGGAAUAUUGCUCAAUGGGCGAAAGCCUGAAGCAGCAACGCCGCGUGGAGGAUGACACUUUUCGGAGCGUAAACUCCUUUUCUUAGGGAAGAACAAUGACGGUACCUAAGGAAUAAGCACCGGCUAACUCCGUGCCAGCAGCCGCGGUAAUACGGAGGGUGCAAGCGUUACUCGGAAUCACUGGGCGUAAAGGACGCGUAGGCGGAUUAUCAAGUCUUUUGUGAAAUCUAAUGGCUUAACCAUUAAACUGCUUGAGAAACUGAUAAUCUAGAGUGAGGGAGAGGCAGAUGGAACUGGUGGUGUAGGGGUAAAAUCCGUAGAGAUCACCAAGAAUACCCAUUGCGAAGGCGAUCUGCUAGAACUCAACUGACGCUAAUGCGUGAAAGCGUGGGGAGCAAACAGGAUUAGAUACCCUGGUAGUCCACGCCCUAAACGAUGCAUACUCGUUGUUGCUCUGCUAGUCAGGGCAGUAAUUCAGCUAACGCAUUAAGUAUGCCGCCUGGGGAGUACGGUCGCAAGAUUAAAACUCAAAGGAAUAGACGGGGACCCGCACAAGCGGUGGAGCAUGUGGUUUAAUUCGAAGAUACGCGAAGAACCUUACCUGGGCUUGAUAUCCUAAGAACCUCUUAGAGAUAAGAGGGUGCUAGCUUGCUAGAACUUAGAGACAGGUGCUGCACGGCUGUCGUCAGCUCGUGUCGUGAGAUGUUCGGUUAAGUCCGGCAACGAGCGCAACCCACGUAUUUAGUUGCUAACAGUUUGGCUGAGCACUCUAAAUAUACUGCCUUCGUAAGGAGGAGGAAGGUGUGGACGACGUCAAGUCAUCAUGGCCCUUAUGCCCAGGGCGACACACGUGCUACAAUGGCAUAUACAAUGAGACGCAAUACCGCGAGGUGGAGCAAAUCUAUAAAAUAUGUCCCAGUUCGGAUUGUUCUCUGCAACUCGAGAGCAUGAAGCCGGAAUCGCUAGUAAUCGUAGAUCAGCCAUGCUACGGUGAAUACGUUCCCGGGUCUUGUACUCACCGCCCGUCACACCAUGGGAGUUGAUUUCACUCGAAGCCCAAAUACCAAACUGGUUAUGGUCCACAGUGGAAUCAGCGACUGGGGUGAAGUCGUAACAAGGUAACCGUAGGAGAACCUGCGGUUGGAUCACCUCCUUUCUA